GAUGAACGCUAGCUACAGGCUUAACACAUGCAAGUCGAGGGGUAACGAGAGGAAAGCUUGCUUUCCUUGUCGACGACCGGCGCACGGGUGAGUAACGCGUAUCCAACCUGCCCCCAACUAGGGAAUAACCUUGCGAAAGUAAGACUAAUACCCUAUAAUUUCCUCAGAUGUCAUCUGACGAGGAAUAAAGAUUUAUCGGUUGUGGAUGGGGAUGCGUCUGAGUAGCUUGUUGGCGGGGUAACGGCACACCAAGGCAACGAUCAGUAGGGGUUCUGAGAGGAAGGUCCCCCACAUUGGAACUGAGACACGGUCCAAACUCCUACGGGAGGCAGCAGUGAGGAAUAUUGGUCAAUGGGCGGAAGCCUGAACCAGCCAAGUAGCGUGCAGGAUGACGGCCCUAUGGGUUGUAAACUGCUUUUAUACAGGAAUAAAGUUAGCCACGUGUGGUUAUUUGUAGGUACUGUAUGAAUAAGGACCGGCUAAUUCCGUGCCAGCCGCCGCUGUAA
rnacentral:rRNA from 1 species